UCGCACCUGCUCACAUUGAUGCUGUUCUUAACAUGAAGCACAAUAAAAAGUCGGACUGGUCGUUUCACAGAAUCCUGCUUCCGUUUCCAUUAUUUUCUUAGUGAAAUGUAUUUUAGGCGAACUUGUCCAUUUUCAAAACGCUCGGUUACAGUAACUUUGUUAGACUUCCACCACAAAAAAAUUAAUUGGAUUUUUGAAGUAUUGAGCAACUACAGGAAGUGUUUACAUUUGAUUUGUGUUUGAAGCACCUCUAAGAGAGACAAGUGUGCAAAGUGAAAGCAAACUUGACGAGUACAAGAUGACCCACAAGAGGCGUGGCUUGGCACUAAUCUUUAACCAAAAAACUUUUGAAAAAUCUGAAGUUUAUCAGAGUGGAGAGGUACAGAUAUAGACAGAGACAACCUCACACAAAGAAACAUUAUCAACCUAUUUAACCAUAGCUGCUGCAGCCAACCACAAAGAUGUGGAUUGCUUUGUCUGCAUAUUCCUAUCUCAUGGGAAAGAAGGGAAAAGUGAAGCAUUUGAUAAUCAGAUUGAAAUUAAGGAAAUAACAGAUUUAUU